rnacentral:rRNA from 4 species
UCUGGUAAUGAUGGCAGAGAGGUCACACCCGUUCCCAUACCGAACACGGAAGUUAAGCUCUCUAGCG